UUUCUUGUCGGCAGGGCCUGUCUCCCCCGCGGGGACGAGGCACAUCGAGUGCGCGAAUGAGUGAGUCGCUAUUGCUGUCCGCGGUGGAGAGUUCUCUGAUUGUUACUUCUUGGGUGGGAAGACCGAAAUCUCCUCCUUUCCCUUCACACAAUAACUCUAACGUUUGCUUCCUUUCUUCUCUUUUGCCUCCUCUUCCAUGCGAAAAAGAGGAUGCUGUGAUUUGGGUUUGGUGUGAGCAGCAAACUCGGGUUCAUUAGGGAAGUGAGUACAGCACUAGGGUGAUGAGAGAACUUUUUCUCGAUCCUACUACUCGAUUGUAGCAACAUGGAAAGGUGAUUAGGUUUUGGACUCAGGAGAAGUGGAUUCUAGCCUCAGCUCCACCUUUAAAACCUCUGUGACCUUGGGCCAGCAAACCCCUCAAGAAUUUGUUUCAUUAACUUUGGGAUUGAACCCACAACCUUGGCGUAGCAGGACGACGCUCUAACCAACUGAGCUACCCGGCCAGGGUUUAAUUCAGGAAUCCUGUGCCUAUCACUCAACAUAGUUUCAACUUUCCAGCUAAAUGACUUUUGUGCCAGUCAUACUGGAGUCCUACACCCAUGUUCUUGCAGAGUUUGAGUCUCUGGAUCCAUUACUUUCAGCCCUAAGGCUGGACUCAAGUCGUCUAAAGUGCACGAGCAUAGCUGUAUCUCGGAAAUGGUUGGCUUUGGGCAGUUCAGGAGGAGGUCUCAACCUCAUCCAAAAAGAAGGCUGGAAGCACAGGCUCUUUCUUUCACAUAGGGAAGGAGCAAUUUCUCAGGUUGCCUGUUGUUCACAUGAUGAUGAUUAUGUUGCUGUAGCUACCAGUCAAGGCUUUGUAGUUGUUUGGGAAUUAAAUCAAGAGCGUCGUGGGAAACCAGAACGAAUUUAUGUGUCUUCAGAACACAAGGGCCGAAAAGUUACAGCUCUCUGUUGGGAUACAGCGAUUCUUAGAGUUUUUGUAGGUGAUCAUAUGGGGAAAGUUUCAGCCAUCAAACUCAACACUUCUAAACAAGCAAGGGCAGCUGUUACCUUUGUGAUGUUUCCUGUUCAGACAAUAACAACAGUUGACUCCUGUGUUGUCCAGUUAGAUUAUUUGGAUGGAAGACUACUUAUAUCUUCACUCACUAGAUCCUUCUUGUGUGACACUGAAAGAGAAAAAUUUUGGAAAAUUGGAAACAAGGAAAGAGAUGGAGAAUAUGGAGCUUGUUUCUUCCCUGGAAGGUGUGCUGCGGGCCAGCAACCUCUAAUAUAUUGUGCUCGUCCUGGCUCCAGAAUGUGGGAAGUGAACUUUGAUGGGGAAGUUAUAAGUACACAUCAGUUUAAGAAACUCCUCUCAUCACCACCUCUCCCUGUGAUUACUCUCAGAUCAGAACCUCAGUAUGAUCAUACAGUUGGAUCCUCCCAGUCUUUGUCUUUCCCCAAACUCUUGCAUCUUAGUGAGCAUUGUGUGUUGACUUGGACAGAAAGAGGAAUUUAUAUUUUCGUUCCUCAGAACGUUCAGGUUCUUCUUUGGAGUGAAGUCAAAGAUAUUCAGGAUGUGGCUGUCUUCAAGAAUGAGCUGUUCUGUUUGCAUCUAAAUGGGAAAAUCUCACAUCUUUCCCUCUUAUCUGUGGAACGCUGUGUGGAACGCCUGCUAAGGAGAAGCCUUUGGAACCUGGCUGCUCACACUUGCUGUCUGUUCCAGAAUUCUCUCAUUGCUGGCAGAGGAAGAAAAUCAUUGACUGUAGAUAAAUUGGAGCACUUGAAAUCUCAGCUGGAUCUCACAACCUGUAGUGAUUUGAUUUCUCAACUAGAAGAAUUGAUCUUAAAAUUUGAACCUUUGGAUUCAGCUUGCAGCAGUAGAAGAAGCUCCAUUUCAUCACAUGAAAGUUUCAGCAUCUUGGACUCUGGUAUUUAUCGUAUUAUUAGUAGUAGAAGAGGCAGUCAGUCAGAUGAAGACACUUGUUCCCUUCACAGCCAAACCCUCUCAGAAGAUGAGAGACUUAAAGAAUUCAUCUCACAUCAAGAAGAGGACCAGCCAGAUCAGUGUUGCAGCUCACACGGAAAUGAGGACAGUGUUUCUCAUGUUCCAGUGACGUUUGAGACAGAUAAGAAUGAAACUUUUCUCCCCUUCGGCAUUCCAUUAUCAUUUCGUUCUCCAUCUCCUCUUGUGUCUCUUCAGGCUGUCAAGGAAAGUGUUUCUAGCUUUGUACGUAAAACUACUGAGAAGAUUGGCACCCUUCAUACAAGCCCUGAUCAGAAAGUGAGACCAGAACCCAGAGGUGAUGAACAGUUAUGUGAAGAAGAUGUGAGUCCUGUCACUUGCUCAAAGGAGGAAGACACAGAGGGAAUAAAAGAAGUAACUAGUCAACCUCCAGAAGAAGAUAAAUUCCAAGAGCUCAAAAUAGCAACGGCAGAAGCAAUGACCAAGCUACAGGACCCACUGGUUUUAUUUGAACCUGAAUCUCUGAGAAUGGUUUUACAGGAGUGGCUUUCACAGUUAGAAAAAACAUUUGCCAUAAAGGACUUUUCAGGCAUUUCAGGUACCUGCAACUCAUCCACAACAUCGAAUGAGGAUGUACUAUUGUUUGAUGAGUCAAAAAAUGGAAUAUUGGUUGAAGAUAAUGAAAAAGAAAAAAGGGACUCUUUAGGCAAUGAAGAAACUGUUGAUCACAAGGCAUGUGAAUCUGUAAAUAGUCUGAGGGAGCCCUUGGAUGACCUCUUUCGAGUAUGUUCUCCAUGGAGCAUAGCAAACGGUCUCUGGAAGGACCUGGCUGAAUUGACAACAUUGUGUUUAGAAUUGAAUGUACUGAAUUCUGAGAUCAAAAGCACAAGUGAACAUGAGGACCACACUUUGCAAGAGCACUCUUCUGAAAUUCUGGCUUGUCAGUUCCUAAAGAAGUACUUUUUUCUCCUGGACUUGAAGAGAGCAAAGGAGAGUAUCAAGCUUACUUAUGCAAACAAUCAUUGUGUUUGGGAUACUUUUAUCGAAGGAUUGAAAGAAAUGGCAAGUUCCAAUCCUACAUAUAUGGAGAUGGAAGAAGGCGAUCUACCAACAAAAUUAAAAUUAGUGGAUGACUCGGUCCCUUUUGACAGUCCUUUGUUGAUUGCUUAUGCUACCCAAUUGUAUGAGAAGUUUGGGGAAUCUGCCCUUCGAUCCUUGAUCAAGUUUUACCCAUCAAUUUUGCCUUCGGAUGUCAUGCAACUUUGUCAUCAUCAUCCUGCUCAGUUUUUGGCCUAUUUAGACAGUCUAGUGAAAUCAAGGCCUGAAGAUCACCGGCAGUCCUUCCUUGAGUCCCUUCUACAACCAGAGUCUUUAAGAUUGGAUUGGCUGCUGUUAGCAGUGUCCCAUGAUGCUCCCCCAAGCACAAGCACUAUGGAUGAUGAAGGAAAUCCCAGGCCUCAUUCACACUUGUUUUCCUGGGGUUACAGUCAGCUGAUCCUUCAUCUAAUUAAACUACCUGCAGAUUUUACAACCAAAGAGAAAAUGACUGACAUCUGCAGGUCUCGUGGUUUCUGGCCUGGAUAUCUUACUCUCUGUUUGGAGCUGGAGAGAAGAAGAGAGGCCUUCACCAACAUAGUAUAUUUGAAUGAUAUGAGCCUGAUGGAUGGGGACAGUGGUUGGAUCCCAGAAACCAUGGAGGAGUGGAAACUUCUCCUACAUCUUGUUCAGAACAAAAACACAAAGCCAGACCCCCAGAAUUCACCAAAUGGGAGCUUCAGUGAUGGGCCUUCCCCUGUUAACCUGGAGAAUGUAGCACUGCUGUUAGCUAAGGCCAUGGGUCCAGAUCGGGCCUGGUCAUUGCUACAGGAAUGUGGUUUGACACUUGAGCUGUCAGAGAGAUUUACCAGAACCUGCAAUAUCCUAAGGAUUGCUGAGAAAAGACAGAGGUAAUACCUGUCUGUCAUGCCCUCUCCAUAGGUGCUUCGGGAAUGUGGAAACCCAAGAUUUUCAGAGGGGGAUGGGACUAGAGAGAUCAUCCAGUCCCAACCCCUAACAACAGAUGAGGAGACUGAGACUCACCUGUUGAUUAAGAGCCUUGAUACAAAGUAUGCUUGAAAAAUGUGAUCGGUUUCUCUGGUCUCAGCAGGCCUAGUGGAAGAAGAUUCAACAGGAUGUCAUAACAUUUUAAGGAAAAUGGAAUCAUGCUCCUGAAUCUUCCGAAUGUGUUUGUUAUUGAAGGAAAGGCACCACUUGAAAACCCUGCUGCCUUAUUGGGAGUACCUUGGCCAGUGUCUGUAACCUCUGUAUUUAUGGCUUAUCUGUGACCUCAGUGAUUCUCAACCAAAGUUGAAUCUUGAAAGGAAUUGGUCCUUGUUUGCUGAUAUGAAGAGUUCUGUAAUCAGAAUGUGAAUGCUCACAGCUAUGCAGUCCUUACUAGUAUUCUGAACAACAGUGUUAUUUAUUUCUUGCUUGUGGAUUGUAGGAGCAGAAGUUUCUCAUUGUGAUCACACGAAGACAGAUCAUUUAAUUGACAGGAGUUGAAAUUUUUUUAUCCUUGUCUAGGGCAGUUGAGAAAUUACUGAAAUAUGACCUGGUGUAAUGGAAUUAAUACAAAAAAAAGUGAAACACUGAAGACUCAAAUUAGAUAUGUAAGUGAAAUGGCCCCAUAUUUAAUUUGAACUAAUUUAAAAUACAUUUUUUCUAGUAUUUGACAUUUUAUAAUCUGAAUUUGACAUUUUAUACAACUGAUUAAUUCAUUACUGAUAAUGUUUUAACUUGAAUUUUUCCUAAACAGAGUAGUUCAAAGAAAUCAUGCACUUUUAGAAAUCAUUUUUUUAAAGUCACAAUAAAGAAAGGCUAAAACUAAUGAAGACUGAAGCAAGUGCUUGUAUUAUUUAAGCCAAAUACUAGAUUGCGAUUUGUCAGACUUCUAUAGAUAUAACAUGUUAUAUUAAUAAUAAAUGUAAAAUCUGA